AGUGAACGCUGGCGGUAGGCCUAACACAUGCAAGUCGAACGGCAGCACAGGAGAGCUUGCUCUCUGGGUGGCGAGUGGCGGACGGGUGAGGAAUACAUCGGAAUCUACUUUUUCGUGGGGGAUAACGUAGGGAAACUUACGCUAAUACCGCAUACGACCUACGGGUGAAAGCAGGGGAUCUUCGGACCUUGCGCGAUUGAAUGAGCCGAUGUCGGCAUUAGCUAGUUGGCGGGGUAAAGGCCCACCAAGGCGACGAUCCGUAGCUGGUCUGAGAGGAGGAUGAGCCACACUGGAACUGAGACACGGUCCAGACUCCUACGGGAGGCAGCAGUGGGGAAGAUUGGACAAUGGGCGCAAGCCUGAUCCAGCCAUACCGCGUGGGUGAAGAAGGCCUUCGGGUUGUAAAGCCCUUUUGUUGGGAAAGAAAUCCAGCUGGUUAAUACCCGGUUGGGAUGACGGUACCCAAAGAAUAAGCACCGGCUAACUUCGUGCCAGCCGCCGCCGUAA
rnacentral:rRNA from 1 species